GCGUUUCGGCUAAUGGCAAGCCGAUCGACUUCCAAUCGAUAGUUGCAGGUUCGAAUCCUUGCAGCGCA
rnacentral:tRNA from 1 species